CUUGUACUUGAAGAAGUUCAAUCAGGAACGAGAGUUCACCGUGAUAUGUGAUACGUGAGCUGGGUUAAGAACGUCUUGAGGCAGUUUGUUCCCUAUCUGCCAUUUUA
rnacentral:rRNA from 1 species